GUCCACGCCGUAAACGUUGGGCACUAGGUGUGGGACUCUAUCGACGGGUUCCGUGCCGUAGCUAACGCAUUAAGUGCCCCGCCUGGGGAGUACGGCCGCAAGGCUAAAACUCAAAGGAAUUGACGGGGGCCCGCACAAGCGGCGGAGCAUGUGGCUUAAUUCGAUGCAACCCGAAGAACCUUACCUGGGCUGAACUAUGCGGGAAAAGCCAUGGAAACAUGGUGUCCGUAAGGGUCCGCGAUAGGUGGUGCAUGGCUGUCGU
rnacentral:rRNA from 1 species